GGACGGGUAGCUCAGUUGGUUAGAGCACUGCGUUGACAUCGCAGAGGUCGUAGGUUCGAGCCCUAUUCCGUCCA
rnacentral:tRNA from 1 species